rnacentral:lncRNA from 1 species
GUGGCCCGAGAGCUUCAGCGGAGCCCGGGAGCGUCAGGACGAAGGUCUGCCCGGGACGGCGACGUGCAGGGAUGCUGUUUCUCCUCCUUCCAUCCCCGAGGCACCCACCCCUUGCUGAGGACGAGCUGGGUAUGAUCCCCACAACUACUCCCUUACUCAGAUGGACCGACGGACACGCGGGAAUGACAGUCGGGAAGGAGCAGGGUCAGGUCUAGGUUUUCUGACUCUAAAAUGCCUCCUCUUUCCGUUCCUGAAAAAACUAAUGGGACAGGAAUGGAACUUCUCCAAAUAAGGCUAGGGAGUGAGCCGUGGCUGGAGGGCCCUGCCAGCCGCAUCAGGAGGCUGGACUUCAUCUGAAGAACACUAAGGAGCUACAGGAGGAUUUUCAG